rnacentral:rRNA from 1 species
AGAGUUUGAUCCUGGCUCAGGAUGAACGCUGGCGGCGUGCCUAACACAUGCAAGUCGAACGAAGCGCUUUUUGAGAUUCUUCGGAUGAUCAAUCGGUGACUGAGUGGCGGACGGGUGAGUAACGCGUGGGUAACCUGCCCUGUACAGGGGGAUAACAGCUGGAAACGGCUGCUAAUACCGCAUAAGCGCACGAGGAGACAUCUCCUUGUGUGAAAAACUCCGGUGGUACAGGAUGGGCCCGCGUCUGAUUAGCUGGUUGGCAGGGUAACGGCCUACCAAGGCAACGAUCAGUAGCCGGUCUGAGAGGAUGAACGGCCACAUUGGAACUGAGACACGGUCCAAACUCCUACGGGAGGCAGCAGUGGGGAAUAUUGCACAAUGGGCGAAAGCCUGAUGCAGCGACGCCGCGUGAGCGAAGAAGUACUUCGGUAUGUAAAGCUCUAUCAGCAGGGAAGAUAAUGACGGUACCUGACUAAGAAGCACCGGCUAAAUACGUGCCAGCAGCCGCGGUAAUACGUAUGGUGCAAGCGUUAUCCGGAUUUACUGGGUGUAAAGGGAGCGCAGGCGGUGCGGCAAGUCUGAUGUGAAAGCCCGGGGCUCAACCCCGGUACUGCAUUGGAAACUGUCGUACUAGAGUGUCGGAGGGGUAAGCGGAAUUCCUAGUGUAGCGGUGAAAUGCGUAGAUAUUAGGAGGAACACCAGUGGCGAAGGCGGCUUACUGGACGAUAACUGACGCUGAGGCUCGAAAGCGUGGGGAGCAAACAGAAUUAGAUACCCUGGUAGUCCACGCCGUAAACGAUGAAUACUAGGUGUUGGGGAGCAUUGCUUCUCGGUGCCGUCGCAAACCCAGUAAGUAUUCCACCUGGGGGAGUACGUUCGCCAGAAUGAAACUCAAAGGAAUUGACGGGGACCCGCACAGACGGGGGAGCUUGUGGGUUUAUUUGAAGCACCCCAAGAAACCUACCAAGUCUUGACAUCCUUGUGACCGGUAAUUAAUCGUACCCUCUCUUCGGAGCAGGAGUGACAGGUGGUGCAUGGUUGUCGUCAAGCUCGUGUCGAGAGAUGUUGGGUUAAGUCCNGCAACGAGCGCAACCCCUAUCCUUAGUAGCCGGCAUAUAAGGUGGGCACUCUAGAGAGACUUCCAGCUUAUAUCCUUGAGGAAGGUGGGGAUGACGUCAAAUCAUCAUGCCCCUUANGACCACUCUCUUCACACGUGCUACAAUGCCCAGUACAGAGGGGGCCGAAGCCGCGAGGCGGAGGAAAUCCUAAAAACUGGGCCCAGUUCGGACUGUAGGCUGCAACCCGCCUACACGAAGCCGGAAUCGCUAGUAAAGGCGCAUCAGCUACGGCGCCGUGAAUACGUUCCCGGGUCUUGCACACACCGCCCGUCA